GGGCUCACUUGCGCAGCACAUAUGCUAAAAUUAGAAUGAUGUGGAGAAGAUCACGGUGGGCCCUGCUUCAGGAUGACAAGCAAAUUUGUGAAACCUUCCAUAUUUAA
ensembl:snRNA U6 U6 spliceosomal RNA